ensembl:lncRNA
UGAGUAGUUGUUCAUCACUGAGCAAUUUGUUAAUAUGUGUUUCGAGCCAAAUAAAUGACAGGGAGAGAGAGAGUGACAUCAGAACACGUCAUACUAUAACCUCCCGGGAGCGGACGGAGGGGGUCAGUCGUUGAGAUGCGCAUGCGCAGACAGAGUGUGCGAGCGGCGGACCUUGACCUUUCGGGAAAAAAAACUCACGGACGGUGACAGCGAAACGGAUAACAGUCUUCAGUACCUGCUGGACUUUGAAGCUGUGGAUUCUGGGACUGUUAGAAAAGAUGGAGGAUCACUAACAGGAGCGUGGGAAGACUCCAGAAUCCACUCUGGCUGGAAUCCGGUGGAUAUGCAGUGUGUACAGAACAGUUCUCCACAGUCGCUGUCCACAUGGGUCAGUGGGACCAAGAAGCACUCUGCUAAUGUGGGACUCUGACCAGCAACAUCCAGCAGGACCCAGACAGCGUUUUCUAUCUCCCAGCUGGAGGUUUUUGUUUGUCUGUGACUGGAGAGUCAGAUUUUUGUUGAGCUUCACACUUGCAGAGGUUAAUACACGCUACUGAUCCCUGAUAGGAGAAUCAUCAAUUUUGGCAACAAAGAAGCCUGGUGGAUGUUUGUUUACAGUCUGAUGAUGGGACAUCAUGCUCUGCAUCUUCAAAGUUUGCCUCCUCAUUAUUAUUCAUACCCAGUAAUGUGAAGUAUGCUCAUAUCUACUAUAACUGAACCAACCUGGUGCUCUUCAUUUAUGGAGGCUGUUGAGUCUGAAUGUUGGAUGUUGUGUAUCUCGUGUUCUCUGGGCUUUGUUGUCCUCAGUCUUUUUGCAGGAUCAGAAAACAAAACCAGGAGGCGUGUAAAUGUUUCUUCUCCAUGAUGUUUCUUCAAAUGUUUCUUCUGGAUGAUGAUAAGACUGUGACACGGGAUGCCACCUUUGGUCUUGUGAUGAAGCAAAGCUCAGGAAGAAGUGGGAUUAAAUGGUACCCACAUGUGUGCUGCUGAGAAGGAUGUACAGGGGCACCUGCAGCCAAAUCCAAGCCUCAGAGCAGAGCGGCAGUUUGUGCUCACAGAUGGUGACGGUGUGGAGAGACGGUGGUGUUUCCUCAGAAGAACCAGCAGAGUCACAAAGGACACCAGUCCAUCUCACCACCGUGACUCGCUGACUGAUGUUCGUCUGCACUGCACAGAGGAAAUCAACUGACCAAGAUGGGCAGUAUAUCAGUCUUGGACUGUCUAACCUGCUGGAGCAGCACUGAAUGACCACCACACAUGAGCAUGUUCCCGCAACAUUCAGCAUCUGAUCUGUCAUCUGUGUGCUGCUGCUUUUGUGUCACAUGUCAAACAGCUGGAGAGGAAACUACACCAGUGUACUGGGAUGUUUCAGCAACACGUGCCAGAUGCUGUUCCUUCAUGGUGACAUCACCAGAGACAGCCCCACCCACCUCAGGACCUCGCCAUUGAUCAUGAUGAUUAUAAUGAUGACAGCGAGCGGAACUAAGACUGUAAAAAUCCACGACCAGAAUUUUUCUUUCUAAUUAUGAAUGAAUACUGAGAGCCUCGUUCUGUGUUUUGUCUGUUUUGGUUGUUUUUUUUUUUACCUCAUUUGUUACUAACAAAGUUCACAAACUCACACAGUUUACAUUCUGUAUGUUUCCAUCUUUACCAGCCACAAUCUAACUGCAUUUAAGAAAAUAAUCCUUAGAAAUCGUCGUUUUUCUUUUGUAAUUGAUGAUAAUUCAGUGAAUAUACUGCGCUGCUUCCUUUUAUUGCGUCACACAUUGCUUUAUGUUUUUCAGUGUCCAGUUAUUUUUUACUGCUGUUUGAAUUCUCUGUAUGUUUGACCCUGUAGACUGUUUGAUGGACUGCUUGUCUUCCUGUUUGUUACCGCCGCCUGUUUUUUAAUAAAGAUUUGGAUUUCUGACUUCAACACAG